UAUCUGGAUGUGUGCCUAACCGGUGCCACACGGGAUCGACGGCCUUAUUCUCUGUCCCAGGAUGACGACAUCAUCAUCACCUUGUUCCUGACUUCCUGUCUCCUGGCGUGGUCCCGGCUGGAAUGUUGGCAGCCAGUCAGACUGACUCGCUAAAACUCUAAACCGCUUUGAAACCAGGCAGUCUGCUGAUGAAGCUUCACUGACUCACCGACCAACAGAAAGGAAGAAGGAGCUCGGCUCGCUUUCUUUCCGAUAAGAAUAGCUCCAUCCAUCCAGCAGAGAGGACACUUCCUGUCUGAGGUCAGCACCAGCAGAGACUCCAUAGAUCUCCUCUGAGUAGAAAGGACUCUUCCUGGGUCGACACGAACAGCAUCACAUCAAGGACACACCUCCAUGUCUCCGUGUCAGAUCUUCUGUUCCAUCUUAAGUCCAAGUGGCUGCUUUUAUUCUUAAAAAUAUUUGAUUAUGAUAGAAAAAGUAAGGAAAUGUGGGUUGUGGUUCGCCAUUAAGGAGAAGACUGUGGGCCCUAAUGUUGGACCAGUUGAUACUUUAGGACACUGAUCAUCAACUGGUGGCCCAAGGGCCAAAUCAGGCCCCCCAAAGCUUUCUGUCCGGC